UUGACCUCCUCAAUUAUGAUAUCUCCUGAAUGUCAUAGGAAUAUUCCCGCCUGAUAUCACCGUGGCAUUCAAGUAUUAUUCUGUGCUACUUGGGAAUAUUAAGGGGGGAACACCAGUUGUAACUUUCGAAAUAUCGAUUUUUUUUUUGGUGCAUUUUCUUAAAGUAUACAUAUUUAGAAAUGUGUCUGUAAAUUUCAAAGUUGAUCCGGUGAAAAAUAAAUGAGAUAUACAGAACACUGCAGCGGCGCGUCCCGUGGCUUCAUACAAGGUGGCCAGCCAUACCUGACCCUAACGACAGAUGGCCUUUUCCUAUGAUUUAGAAACGGCAACCACUGCGGAAGAGUUAUUAUAUGGUCCAGGAAUCGAUGACUCUUUGUAACUUAGAAACAAAAUUUCUUCUGAACAAAAAAAAACGAAGUAUACUUGCAGAAUGCUGGUCACCGCAAUUCGCCUUUUUUCUUAAGACGCCACUUCAAUGGCUCAUAUCUCCAAAAGUUUUUGUUAAAAAAAUUUUUUUUUUCUUUUAAAUUACAGCUUUUUACAUGUACUUUUAACUAAUAAAUAGUAUUCUUUAAAAAGA